UCUCUCUUGGUAUAUCGGUAGAACACCACCCUGUCACGGUGGAGAGCUGGGUUCGACUCCCAGAGGGAGAG